rnacentral:rRNA from 1 species
AGUCGAACGGCAGCACGGGAGCAAUCCUGGUGGCGAGUGGCGAACGGGUGAGUAAUGUAUCGGAACAUACCCAGUCGUGGGGGAUAACGCAGCGAAAGCUGUGCUAAUACCGCAUACGAUCUAUGGAUGAAAGCGGGGGAUCGCAAGACCUCGCGCGAUUGGAGUGGCCGAUAUCAGAUUAGCUAGUUGGUGGGGUAAAGGCUCACCAAGGCGACGAUCUGUAGCUGGUCUGAGAGGACGACCAGCCACACUGGAACUGAGACACGGUCCAGACUCCUACGGGAGGCAGCAGUGGGGAAUUUUGGACAAUGGGCGCAAGCCUGAUCCAGCAAUGCCGCGUGCAGGAUGAAGGCCUUCGGGUUGUAAACUGCUUUUGUACGGAGCGAAAAGGCUCUCUCUAAUACAGGGGGCUCAUGACGGUACCGUAAGAAUAAGCACCGGCUAACUACGUGCCAGCAGCCGCGGUAAUACGUAGGGUGCGAGCGUUAAUCGGAAUUACUGGGCGUAAAGCGUGCGCAGGCGGUCUUGUAAGACAGAUGUGAAAUCCCCGGGCUCAACCUGGGACCUGCAUUUGUGACUGCAAGGCUGGAGUACGGCAGAGGGGGAUGGAAUUCCGCGUGUAGCAGUGAAAUGCGUAGAUAUGCGGAGGAACACCGAUGGCGAAGGCAAUCCCCUGGGCCUGUACUGACGCUCAUGCACGAAAGCGUGGGGAGCAAACAGGAUUAGAUACCCUGGUAGUCCACGCCCUAAACGAUGUCAACUGGUUGUUGGGUCUUAACUGACUCAGUAACGAAGCUAACGCGUGAAG